rnacentral:rRNA from 1 species
GACGAACGCUGGCGGCGUGCUUAACACAUGCAAGUCGAACGGAAAGGCCCUGCUUGCAGGGUACUCGAGUGGCGAACGGGUGAGUAACACGUGGGUGAUCUGCCCUGCACUUCGGGAUAAGCCUGGGAAACUGGGUCUAAUACCGGAUAGGAGCCAUUUUUAGUGUGAUGGUUGGAAAGUUUUUUCGGUGUAGGAUGAGCUCGCGGCCUAUCAGCUUGUUGGUGGGGUAAUGGCCUACCAAGGCGGCGACGGGUAGCCGGCCUGAGAGGGUGGACGGCCACAUUGGGACUGAGAUACGGCCCAGACUCCUACGGGAGGCAGCAGUGGGGAAUAUUGCACAAUGGGCGCAAGCCUGAUGCAGCGACGCCGCGUGGGGGAUGUCGGCCUUCGGGUUGUAAACUCCUUUCGCUAGGGACGAAGCUUUUUGUGACGGUACCUAGAUAAGAAGCACCGGCUAACUACGUG